UAAGGAAUAUUGGUCAAUGGACGCAAGUCUGAACCAGCCAUGCCGCGUGAAGGAUGAAGGUCCUCUGGAUUGUAAACUUCUUUUAUCUGGGACGAAAACGGGAUUUUUAUCUCAACUGACGGUACCAGAGGAAUAAGCACCGGCUAACUCCGUGCCAGCAGCCGCGGUAAUACGGAGGGUGCGAGCGUUAUCCGGAUUUACUGGGUUUAAAGGGUGCGUAGGUGGGCUUAUAAGUCAGUGGUGAAAUCUCCGAGCUUAACUUGGAAACUGCCGUUGAUACUAUAGUUCUUGAAUUAUCUGGAGGUAAGCGGAAUAUGUCAUGUAGCGGUGAAAUGCUUAGAUAUGACAUAGAACACCAAUUGCGAAGGCAGCUUACUACAUAUAAAUUGACGCUGAGGCACGAAAGCGUGGGGAUCAAACA
rnacentral:rRNA from 1 species